rnacentral:lncRNA from 1 species
AACACUAAAACAGUGUGAAGCAAGCAAAGCAACAGUGUUAUAAAUUGUUGUUGCGAAGAUCUCGUUUUCUCUCUGUAGUCUCUUUGCUUUCUUUCCUUCUUUACUGGUGAGUUUUUUUCUUACAUUUAAAAAACGCUCUUUAUAUCUCACUAUACUCUGCUUUAGAUCUUGAUAUUUAGCUCAUUUGAAGAAUUGGGUAUCUUCCAGAUCUGACAAAAAACGUCAGAACUGGUUGAAAAUGGGAUUUUUAGAUCAAUUUAAGAUAUGGGUAUUGAUUAUUUCUUGUUUAUUUCUUCAAUCUGGAAAUGGGUUUUAUUUACCUGGAAGUUAUCCUCACAAAUAUGAACAUGGUGAUUCAUUAUUUGUGAAAGUGAACUCUCUUACUUCUAUUGAUACUGAAAUACCUUAUAGUUAUUACAGUCUUCCUUUUUGUAAACCAUUGGAAGGUAUUAAGGAUAGUGCUGAAAAUCUUGGUGAGCUUUUAAUGGGUGAUAGGAUUGAGAAUUCGCCUUAUAAAUUUAAAAUGUAUACUAAUGAGAGUGAUCUGUUUCUGUGUCGAUCUGAUCCAUUAACGGCGGAUGAUUUUAAAAUGCUUACGAAAAGGAUUGAUGAAAUGUAUCAGGUUAAUUUGAUACUUGAGAAUUUACCAGCAAUUAGGUAUACUAAGAAAGAAGGAUAUUAUCUUAGAUGGACUGGUUAUCCGGUUGGAAUUAAGGUUCAAGAUGUGUAUUAUGUGUUUAAUCAUUUGAAGUUUAAGGUUCUGGUUCAUAAGUAUGAGGAACCUAAUGUGGCUCGAGUGAUGGGUACUGGAGACGUCCCUGAUGUGAUUCCUAAUAAAGUAAAAGGUGGUUCUGAUGUUCCUGGGUACAUGGUUGUGGGAUUUGAGGUUGUUCCCUGCAGCUUCCAGCAUGAUCCCAAUUCAGUAAAGAACAUGAAAAUGUAUGAAAACUAUCAGGCGGGUAUUAAGUGUGACCCAACAACUGUCGCAAUGGCUGUUAAGGAAGGGCAGCCUUUGGUGUUCACCUAUGAGGUCUCGUUUGAGGAGAGUGAUAUCAAGUGGCCAUCAAGGUGGGAUGCCUACUUGAAAAUGGAGGGGGCAAAGGUCCAUUGGUUUUCGAUUCUGAAUUCUGUUAUGGUGAUCACUUUCCUUGCUGGAAUUGUCCUUGUGAUCUUUUUGAGGACUGUGAGGAGGGACCUGACUCGGUAUGAAGAGCUCGACAAGGAGGCUCAGGCACAGAUGAAUGAGGAGUUAUCUGGAUGGAAACUUGUUGUUGGGGAUGUGUUCAGGGCUCCAACCAAUGCAAAACUCUUGUGUAUAAUGGUUGGGAAUGGGGUUCAGAUACUUGGUAUGGCAGUGGUGACCAUUUUAUUUGCUGCCCUAGGUUUCAUGUCACCGGCAUCUCGUGGGACCCUUAUCACUGGAAUGCUUUUCAUCUACUUGGUGCUCGGAAUUGCGGCUGGAUAUGUUGCUGUUCGGAUGUGGAGAACGAUUUGUUGUGGUGUAAUCACAGGAUGGGUUUCAGUUUCUUGGAGAGCUGCCUGCUUCUUCCCUGGUAUAGCUUUUCUGAUACUAACUGUUUUAAACUUCCUCCUUUGGGGAAGUCACAGUACUGGGGCCAUUCCAUUCUCUCUGUUUGUUGUCCUGCUCUUGCUAUGGUUCUGCAUUUCUGUGCCUCUUACCCUCAUAGGUGGAUACCUUGGCGCCAAGGCACCCCAUAUUGAGUACCCAGUUCGAACCAAUCAAAUCCCUCGUGAAGUCCCAGCACAAAAAUACCCAUCUUGGUUGCUGGUUCUUGGAGCUGGGACUCUUCCAUUUGGGACCCUCUUCAUUGAGCUCUUUUUCAUAAUGUCAAGCAUUUGGAUGGGCCGUGUUUACUACGUUUUUGGGUUCACGUUCAUCGUUCUAAUUCUCUUGGUUGUGGUUUGUGCUGAAGUAUCUUUGGUCCUCACAUACAUGCACUUGUGUGUGGAAGACUGGAGGUGGUGGUGGAAAUCUUUCUUCGCUUCUGGCUCAGUUGCCAUCUACAUCUUUUUGUAUUCGAUAAACUAUCUUGUAUUUGAUCUUAAGAAUCUGAGCGGCCCUGUAUCUGCAACACUUUACCUUGGUUACUCACUCUUCAUGGUGCUAGCUAUCAUGCUUGCCACUGGAACAGUGGGGUUCCUUUCUUCAUUUUGGUUCGUGCAUUAUCUGUUCUCUUCAGUAAAGCUAGAUUAAACUUGUGCUGCUUGAUGAGACAUCCUUGGCAGAGAAAGAUUGGAGAUCCAUUUGUUAUUUGCUCACCUGUGUUUGGUUACUUGAAAUGUUUUCAAUGUUGUUAAAGGUAGUAACACCUCGACCAUUUUUCUUAAAUAUGUUAGAUCCAUUGUAGGAGAUAAGAGACGCAGUAGUUUUUGAAGUUUGUGUAUCUGGCUAGUGAGAGGAAAUAUUAUAUGAACCUUUAAAUUCAUGUAUCCUGAUAUUUGAUGUUUAAGUCUACACUUUCCUUCAUACAAUCAUACAUUUCUGUGAGUCUCCAUUGCAGGGACACGUUUAUGUGAUUGUGUGAUAAAAUGUAUUCUUUCUAUUUAUCUUUUCUUAGUUUAAAAGUUUUGCAUCUGGAAGUUGACAAUGAAAGAUACAAUAUCUACUGUAAGUUGGAUUAUGCCCACACCCAGCAUACCUCCAUUCCUGUCACAAAUUUAUAUGUUAUCUCUGACACCAUAUAUAUAUGAACUAUGAAGCAUACUAUAAUGAUGGUUGGGGACUGGUUUACGCCUUGACUUUUCCCAUAAUCCCGUUUUAACAAUGUGCUCAUAUUUCUUGAUCUUAACAUUAACAACCAUAUAGUAUUCUCAUUGGCACAGUCUGGCUUCUGAUGGAAAACCCCAUUUUCUUUGUAGUGAUAAAGCACUUUCACCCUUCCACGUUAAGCUACCCUAUUUAAUUUUUGUCAAUCAUAGAACAUGACCAUGUUCCAUACUGAGAAAAUGAAGUUACUUGAAGAAGACUAUUUGAUUGGUAAAGAUGUUAACAUCAUUUUAUAUUAUUAAGUUGUAAUGUGGUUCUAGAUCUAGUGAUUUAUUAACAACCCUUGUAAUUGCAAUCAGACCUAACUCUUAAAACCACCUCCAAUUGACAAUCUCUUUGGCCAACUUCCACUAUUAGACCAGAUAGCUUCAAGCAUUGCUGCCAAAACUGGUGGAGCCUGGUGUGCUACUAAUGUAUAUACUAUAUACUGUAUGUUCUAUGUAAGAUGUACUCUGGUGCCUGGUGGUAUACACUGGUAUGUAUCGUUGGCUGACUCGAAGAAAUGCAUGUGUGCCGAGACCAACAUAUAUAAACCCCAUUAUGGGGUGUUUUAAAUCGCGAGGUCUGGCAUGCAGCUUGACCUACAUUGUACCAGUCAUAGCCAAAGGAUUUUUCUAAAUUUUAUUGAUUAAUCGGAGUGUGUAUGAUUAUAUCGAAUUGAUUGCUAUCGAUUUUUGUCUUAUUAAGAUACAAUGUGAUUAUUGUUUGAUUUAAAAACAUUAUUAUAAAGAUCACAUAUUAAAUAAUUUCAAAUUUUGCAUAUCUAUACAAAAUUCUCAAAUAUUUCAUCCUAAAAAACAUGAAGUGAUGAAUUGAAAGUCUGAAAGAUCAGAAGUUUUGUCUACCAAUGAAUUGGACUUGGAUCCAAGUUUUUAAAGCCCACAAUAAAGCCCAUGAAAUGAAAUUGGUUAAACAAAGUCAAUAUGUAUUGCUGAAGUUUCUCGGGAAAGCUGAAAGGUAUAUAAAGCUCUAUAAGACGUUUCUUUCGAUUGAUCCGUCUUCAUUGUUCUUCACACAGAGAGAGAGAGAGAAAGAGAGAAAUCUUUCAUCUUUCAUCACUCACCAUUGAUUGUCUCUGUUUUAAUCUCUUUAACAGGUCAGUUGUUGAAUCAUUUAAUCCUUCAUUCUCUUGAAAACGAUUUUUUUUUUUUGGAGUUGUUUUGGUGUUUUUUCAUACUAGUUUGAACAAAAUCAUUUUAUUUUGAUCUAGAUCUAUUGAAUAAUAGUUUUAAGACAAAACCCAUAUUGGAAAUCCAAAGAUCUUGGGUUUUUAAGGUUUUUUAAGAUUUUGGGUGUUCUUCAGAUCUGUGAAAAAAAAAAAAAACAUUGGUGAUUCGUGAUUGGUUCAUGAUGAGGUUUUUAGGUAAGAUUGGGAUUUGGGUUUUGUUUUGUUGUUUGGUUAUUCAAUCUGGAGUUGAUGGGUUUUAUUUACCUGGAAGUUAUCCUCAUAAAUAUGAAGUAGGUGAUUCGUUAUAUGUGAAA